rnacentral:rRNA from 1 species
GAUGAACGCUGGCGGCGUGCUUAACACAUGCGAGUCGAACGAUGAAGCCCAGAUUGCUGGGUGGAUUAGUGGCGAACGGGUGAGUAACACGUGAGUAACCUGCCCUUAACUCUGGGAUAAGCCUGGGAAACUGGGUCUAAUACCGGAUAGGAGCGUCCACCGCAUGGUGGGUGUUGGAAAGAUUUAUCGGUUUUGGAUGGACUCGCGGCCUAUCAGCUUGUUGGUGAGGUAAUGGCUCACCAAGGCGACGACGGGUAGCCGGCCUGAGAGGGUGACCGGACACACUGGGACUGACAUAAGGCCCAGACUCCUACGGGAGGCAGCAGUGGGGAAUAGUGAACCAUGGGCGAAAGCCUGAUGCAGCGACGCAGCGUGAGGGAUGACGGCCUUCGGGUUGUAGACCUCUUUCAGUAGGGAAGAAGCGAAAGUGACGGUACCUGCAGCAGAAGCACCGGCUAACUACGUG